AUUGAACGCUGGCGGCAUGCCUUACACAUGCAAGUCGAACGGUAACGGGCCUUCGGGUGCCGACGAGUGGCGAACGGGUGAGUAAUGCAUCGGAACGUACCUUUCAGUGGGGGAUAACGUAGCGAAAGUUACGCUAAUACCGCAUAUUCUGUGAGCAGGAAAGCAGGGGAUCGCAAGACCUUGCGCUGAUUGAGCGGCCGAUGUCAGAUUAGCUAGUUGGUGAGGUAAAGGCUCACCAAGGCGACGAUCUGUAGCGGGUCUGAGAGGAUGAUCCGCCACACUGGAACUGAGACACGGUCCAGACUCCUACGGGAGGCAGCAGUGGGGAAUUUUGGGACAAUGGGGGCAACCCUGAUCCAGCCAUGCCGCGUGAGUGAAGAAGGCCUUCGGGUUGUAAAGCUCUUUCGGCCGGGAAGAAGAGUCGCUAGUAGGUUAACUACCGUGUCGGACGGUAGUACGGACCGGGUACCGGACUAAGUAAGAACGACCGACCGGACCUAACCGUACGUCGACCGACGACGACC
rnacentral:rRNA from 1 species